rnacentral:rRNA from 1 species
GACGGAGGAUGCAAGCGUUAUCCGGAAUGAUUGGGCGUAAAGCGUCCGCAGGUGGCAGUUCAAGUCUGCUGUCAAAGACCGGGGCUUAACUUCGGAAAGGCAGUGGAAACUGAACAGCUAGAGUAUGGUAGGGGCAGAGGGAAUUCCUGGUGUAGCGGUGAAAUGCGUAGAGAUCAGGAAGAACACCCGUGGCGAAGGCGGUUCUCUGGGACGGUACGACGCUGAGACGCGAAAGCGUGGGGAGCGAACAGGAUA